rnacentral:rRNA from 1 species
GUUGUAUGGUUAAGUGACUAAGCGUACACGGUGGAUGCCUUGGCAGUCAGAGGCGAUGAAAGACGUAGUAACUUGCGAUAAGCCCAGAUUAGGUAGUAACAACCAUUUGAGUCUGGGAUUUCUGAAUGGGGAAACCCACUUACAUAAGUAAGUAUCCUUACCUGAAUACAUAGGGUAAGGAGGCGAACCGGGGGAACUGAAACAUCUAAGUACCCCGAGGAAAAGAAAUCAACCGAGAUUCCGAAAGUAGCGGCGAGCGAAAUUGGACUAGCCCUUAAGCUUUACACGCGUUAGACGAACGGUCUGGAAAGUCCGACGAUACAGGGUGAUAGUCCCGUAGUUGACGACGUGUGUUCAGUGAAAUCGAGUAGGGCGGGACACGUGAUAUCCUGUCUGAAUAUGGGGGGACCAUCCUCCAAGGCUAAAUACUACUGACUGACCGAUAGUGAACCAGUACCGUGAGGGAAAGGCGAAAAGAACCCCUGUGAGGGGAGUGAAAUAGAACCUGAAACCGUGUACGUACAAGCAGUAGGAGCAGGCUUUGUCCUGUGACUGCGUACCUUUUGUAUAAUGGGUCAGCGACUUAUAUUCAGUGGCAAGGUUAACCAUCUAGGGGAGCCGUAGGGAAACCGAGUCUUAACUGGGCGUUCAGUCUCUGGAUAUAGACCCGAAACCAGGUGAUCUAGCCAUGGGCAGGUUGAAGGUUGAGUAACAUCAACUGGAGGACCGAACCGACUAAUGUUGAAAAAUUAGCGGAUGACUUGUGGCUAGGGGUGAAAGGCCAAUCAAACCUGGAGAUAGCUGGUUCUCCCCGAAAGCUAUUUAGGUAGCGCCUCGGACGAAUACUACUGGGGGUAGAGCACUGUUAAGGCUAGGGGGUCAUCCCGACUUACCAACCCUUUGCAAACUCCGAAUACCAGUAAGUACUAUCCGGGAGACACACGGCGGGUGCUAACGUCCGUCGUGGAGAGGGAAACAACCCAGACCGCCAGCUAAGGUCCCAAAUUACUACUAAGUGGGAAACGAUGUGGGAAGGCUCAGACAGCCAGGAUGUUGGCUUAGAAGCAGCCAUCAUUUAAAGAAAGCGUAAUAGCUCACUGGUCGAGUCGGCCUGCGCGGAAGAUGUAACGGGGCUAAGUAGUAAACCGAAGCUGCGGCAAUGUGCUUUUGCACAUUGGGUAGGGGAGCGUUCUGUAAGCGGUUGAAGGUGUGUGGUAACGCAUGCUGGACGUAUCAGAAGUGCGAAUGCUGACAUGAGUAACGAUAAAGGGGGUGAAAAACCUCCUCGCCGGAAGACCAAGGGUUCCUGUCCAACGUUAAUCGGGGCAGGGUAAGUCGACCCCUAAGGCGAGGCCGAAAGGCGUAGUCGAUGGGAAACGGGUUAAUAUUCCCGUACUUCUUACAAUUGCGAUGGGGGGACGGAGAAGGCUAGGUGGGCCUGGCGACGGUUGUCCAGGUUCAAGUGCGUAGGCUUAAGAGUUAGGUAAAUCCGGCUCUUUUUAAGGCUGAGACACGACGUCGAGCACCUACGGGUGUGAAGUCAUUGAUGCCAUGCUUCCAGGAAAAGCCUCUAAGCUUCAGAUUGUAAGGAAUCGUACCCCAAACCGACACAGGUGGUCGGGUAGAGAAUACCAAGGCGCUUGAGAGAACUCGGGUGAAGGAACUAGGCAAAAUGGUACCGUAACUUCGGGAGAAGGUACGCUCUCGACGGUGAAGUCCCUCGCGGAUGGAGCUAUUGAGAGUCGCAGAUACCAGGUGGCUGCAACUGUUUAUUAAAAACACAGCACUGUGCAAAAUCGUAAGAUGACGUAUACGGUGUGACGCCUGCCCGGUGCCGGAAGGUUAAUUGAUGGGGUUAGACUUCGGUCGAAGCUCUUGAUCGAAGCCCCGGUAAACGGCGGCCGUAACUAUAACGGUCCUAAGGUAGCGAAAUUCCUUGUCGGGUAAGUUCCGACCUGCACGAAUGGCGUAAUGAUGGCCACGCUGUCUCCACCCGAGACUCAGUGAAAUUGAAAUCGCUGUGAAGAUGCAGUGUACCCGCGGCUAGACGGAAAGACCCCGUGAACCUUUACUACAGCUUGGCACUGAACAUUGACCCUACAUGUGUAGGAUAGGUGGGAGGCUUUGAAGCACGUACGCCAGUAUGUGUGGAGCCGUCCUUGAAAUACCACCCUUGUAGUGUUGAUGUUCUAACGUCGACCCCUUAUCGGGGUUGCGGACAGUGCCUGGUGGGUAGUUUGACUGGGGCGGUCUCCUCCCAAAGAGUAACGGAGGAGCACGAAGGUGGGCUAAUCACGGUUGGACAUCGUGAGGUUAGUGCAAUGGCAUAAGCCCGCUUGACUGCGAGAAUGACAAUUCGAGCAGGUGCGAAAGCAGGUCAUAGUGAUCCGGUGGUUCUGAAUGGAAGGGCCAUCGCUCAACGGAUAAAAGGUACUCCGGGGAUAACAGGCUGAUACCGCCCAAGAGUUCAUAUCGACGGCGGUGUUUGGCACCUCGAUGUCGGCUCAUCACAUCCUGGGGCUGAAGUCGGUCCCAAGGGUAUGGCUGUUCGCCAUUUAAAGUGGUACGCGAGCUGGGUUUAGAACGUCGUGAGACAGUUCGGUCCCUAUCUGCCGUGGGCGUUGGAAGAUUGAAGGGGGCUGCUCCUAGUACGAGAGGACCGGAGUGGACGAACCUCUGGUGUUCGGGUUGUGUCGCCAGACGCAUUGCCCGGUAGCUAAGUUCGGAAUCGAUAACCGCUGAAAGCAUCUAAGCGGGAAGCGAGCCCUGAGAUGAGUCUUCCCUGAUACUUUAAGUAUCCUAAAGGGUUGUCGGAGACUACGACGUUGAUAGGUCAGGUGUGUAAGUGCUGUGAGGCAUUGAGCUAACUGAUACUAAUUGCCCGUGAGGCUUAACCAUACAACACCCAAGGGGUUU